rnacentral:rRNA from 1 species
CCUACGGGAGGCAGCAGUGGGGAAUCUUGCGCAAUGGGCGAAAGCCUGACGCAGCCAUGCCGCGUGAAUGAUGAAGGUCUUAGGAUUGUAAAAUUCUUUCAGUAGGGACGAUAAUGACGGUACCUACAGAAGAAGCCCCGGCUAACUUCGUGCCAGCAGCCGCGGUAAUACGAAGGGGGCUAGCGUUGCUCGGAAUUACUGGGCGUAAAGGGAGCGUAGGCGGGUUAUCAAGUUGGAGGUGAAAGCCCAGGGCUCAACCUUGGAAUUGCCUUCAAAACUGAUAGCCUAGAGUAUGAUAGAGGUAUGUGGAACUCCGAGUGUAGAGGUGAAAUUCGUAGAUAUUCGGAAGAACACCAGUGGCGAAGGCGACAUACUGGGUCAUGACUGACGCUGAGGCUCGAAAGCGUAGGGGAGCAAACAGGAUUAGAUACCCUGGUAGUCCACGCUAGUAAACGAUGAUUGCUAGUUGUCGGACGGCAUGCCGUUCGGUGACGCAGCUAACGCAUUAAGCAAUCCGCCUGGGGAAGUACGGUCGCAAGAUUAAAACNCAAAUGAAUUGACCGGCUGAGACCGNGCGAGACGACGACGAGGGAGAGG